rnacentral:rRNA from 1 species
UACGUAGGGAGCGAGCGUUGUCCGGAUUCAUUGGGCGUAAAGAGCUCGUAGGCGGCUUGGUAAGUCGGAUGUGAAACCUCCAGGCUCAACCUGGAGUCGCCAUCCGAUACUGCCAUGGCUAGAGUCCGGUAGGGGCCCACGGAAUUCCUGGUGUAGCGGUGAAAUGCGCAGAUAUCAGGAGGAACACCGAUGGCGAAGGCAGGUCUCUGGGCAGUAACUGACGCUGAGGAGCGAAAGCAUGGGGAGCGAACAGG